rnacentral:rRNA from 1 species
CAAAAGCUCAAAUUUGAAAUCCUUCGGGAGUUGUAAUUUGUAGGUUGGGAGACCCCGCGGCUAGUGGCACCAAGUCCCUUGGAACAGGGCGCCUUAGAGGGUGAGAGCCCCGUAGGUACCACAACACCGUCUUGUGUCUCCUCUCCAAAGAGUCGAGUUGUUUGGGAAUGCAGCUCAAAGUGGGUGGUAAAUUCCAUCUAAAGCUAAAUACCGGCGAGAGACCGAUAGCGAACAAGUACAGUGAUGGAAAGAUGAAAAGCACUUUGAAAAGAGAGUGAAACAGUACGUGAAAUUGUUGAAAGGGAAGGGCUUGCAAGCAGACACGGCCUUCGUGCCGGGCCAGCAUCGGUUGCUAGGGGUGGAUAAGGAACAAGGAAUGUAGCUCCUCGGAGUAUUAUAGCCUUGCGCG